rnacentral:rRNA from 1 species
GUGGGGAAUAUUGCACAAUGGGCGAAAGCCUGACGCAGCCAUGCCGCGUGAAUGAUGAAGGUCUUAGGAUUGUAAAAUUCUUUCACCGGGGACGAUAAUGACGGUACCCGGAGAAGAAGCUCCGGCUAACUUCGUGCCAGCAGCCGCGGUAAUACGAAGGGGGCUAGCGUUGCUCGGAAUUACUGGGCGUAAAGGGCGCGUAGGCGGACAGCUUAGUCAGAGGUGAAAGCCCAGGGCUCAACCUUGGAAUUGCCUUUGAUACUGGCUGUCUUGAGUUUGGGAGAGGUGAGUGGAACUCCGAGUGUAGAGGUGAAAUUCGUAGAUAUUCGGAAGAACACCAGUGGCGAAGGCGACUCACUGGCCCAAUACUGACGCUGAGGCGCGAAAGCGUGGGGAGCAAACAGGAUUAGAAACCCCUGUAGUCC